AAUGCACCAAUUUGUUAUUCGCUCUGGAUAAGAGCGUCUGCUAAAUGACUUAAA
rfam:Salmo salar isolate Sally breed double haploid chromosome ssa15, whole genome shotgun sequence.